AUGUCCUGCUCCGUCGCCAUCCCUAGCUCGCCGGUGUUCUCUCCGUCGCGCCGCCCGCUCUCCUGCAAGGCCGCCUCCGCCUCGCCCGAGUCCGUCUCCGUGUCGUCCCCGGCGCCCUCCACCGCCGGCUCGCCGCUCCGGCCCUUCGGGCUGCUGCGCGCUCAGAUCCGCGAGGAGGCCUCCCCGUCGCCUAAGACGUCCUCUGCGGCCCCCUCCGUCGCCGCCGGAUCGGUGCUGAAGAGGCGGCGGCCGGCGCCGCUCAUGGUGCCGGUCGAUGGCGCCGCGGCCGCUGCUGCCGCGGCGGCGGCUGUGGCCGCCGUGGAAUCGGAUCCGAGCAACGAGGUGGAGGAGGAGGGCGACGAGUUCGCGGCCUACUGCCGGAGAGGGAGGGGAAGGAGAAGGGUGGAGAUGGAGGACCGGCAUGUGGCCAAGGUCGCGCUCGGUGGAGACCCCGAAGUGGCGCUGUUUGCUGUAUUCGAUGGCCACGGCGGAAAGAACGCGGCAGAGUUCGCUGCCCAAAAUAUGCCCAAGUUCAUGGCAGAGGUGGUGAGGAAGGUGGACGGUGGUGACAGUGAUGAAAUUGAGGGGGCUGUGAAGAAAUGUUACCUGAAGACGGACGAAGAGUUCCUUAAGAGGGAGGAGAGCGGGGGAGCAUGCUGUGUCACUGCAUUGCUCCAGAAGGGCGGCCUCACCGUGUCCAACACUGGAGAUUGCCGUGCUGUCCUCAGCCGGGCAGGAACGGCCGAGGCACUCACCUCUGAUCACCGGGCCUCCCGUGAGGAUGAGAGGGAAAGAAUUGAGAACCUGGGCGGGUUCGUUGUGAACAACCGAGGGACAUGGCGAGUGCAGGGCUCCUUGGCAGUGUCAAGAGGCAUCGGUGAUGCACACCUCAAGCAAUGGGUGGUGGCUGAUCCAGAUACCAGGACGCUCCUUGUUGACCCACAGUGCGAAUUCUUAGUACUUGCUUCUGAUGGCUUGUGGGAUAAGGUGGAUAACCAGGAAGCCAUAGACAUCGCCAGGCCUCUCUGCAUCGGCAAUGACAAAACUUCUCGCAUCGCCGCCUGCAGAAGGCUUGUCGAAACCGCGGGUUCCAGGGGGUCUACCGAUGACAUCAGUGUUUUGAUCAUACAAUUGCAGAAGUUCUCAGGUUCUUCUUAA
rnacentral:rRNA from 1 species